GUGCUCGCUUCGGCAGCACAUAUACUAAAAUUGGAACGAUACAGAGAAGAUUAGCAUGGCCCCUGUUAGAUGCAGAGAAGGCCUUUGACAAAAUUCAACAUCCAUUU
rnacentral:snRNA from 1 species